CCUACGGGGGGCAGCAGUGAGGAAUAUUGGUCAAUGGACGAGAGUCUGAACCAGCCAAGUAGCGUGAAGGAUGACUGCCCUAUGGGUUGUAAACUUCUUUUAUAUGGGAAUAAAAUGUUCCACGUGUGGGAUUUUGUAUGUACCAUAUGAAUAAGGAUCGGCUAACUCCGUGCCAGCAGCCGCGGUAAUACGGAGGAUCCGAGCGUUAUCCGAAUUUAUUGGGUUUAAAGGGAGCGUAGGUGGAUUGUUAAGUCAGUUGUGAAAGUUUGCGGCUCAACCGUAAAAUUGCAGUUGAAACUGGCAGUCUUGAGUACAGUAGAGGUGGGCGGAAUUCGUGGUGUAGCGGUGAAAUGCUUAGAUAUCACGAAGAACUCCGAUUGCGAAGGCAGUUCACUGGACUGCAACUGACACUGAGGCUCGAAAGUGUGGGUAUCAAACAGGAUUAGAUACCCCUGUAGUC
rnacentral:rRNA from 1 species